CCGCUUGAGUAACCCAAUCUGAGUUUGAUUUUUUUCGUUAACGAUUCAGGUGUUUAUUUUGGAUGGUCCGGAGUUUUUGGCUGCAACUAUGUUGGACAGAGAUAUGCUUGCUAUGGCUGGAAAUUGGUACCAUGUCGGUUGGUUUUGCUUGGCAAGAUUUGUGACGAUGCGUCGGACAAACAACAUUGGGAUAAGAUACAACCUUGAGCCUUGGCAAGUUAACACAUUAGUUAGGGUUAUGAAGUUUUUCAUGGCACCGACAUAUUAUUGAGCAGUAGCGCAUCAGGUUAGUGAUAUUAGACUUUGUGUCUUGAGAAAUUUUGUAUAUUGAUUGAUGUUUGAAAUUGAUUGUGAGGUCUUUGAUUGUGCAUUGUAUUGCUGAUUGAUAUAUGAGAUUUUGUUGAUUGGCAUAAGGUAUUAGAUAAGAUGUGUUUG